ensembl:lncRNA
AAAAAAACCUCCUUAAAAUGCACUGUCUGGGGUGUAUUUUGCCUAACUGUUUAGGCAAGCUACUGACUAAUUUGGCAUUUCUUCUAAGCUCAGGUAAAUAUGAAAAUUCAUUUUUCCACAAUAACUAGCUUCAAUUUAUUUUUUCCACAGACUACAUUUCUAGUCCUUGUUACUUCUCUGUGUGAUUUCUUUGGAAUCUCAGGAUGGCUGAAGUUGGCAAAGACUUCUGGGUCCAACCCCAGCUCCAGCAGGGCCACCAGAGCACGGUGCCCAG